rnacentral:rRNA from 1 species
CCCUUAGAUGUUCUGGGCCGCACGCGCGCUACACUGACGAAUGCAACGAGCUUAUAACCUUGGCCGAAAGGUCUGGGUAAUCUCCAAAUUUCGUCGUGAUGGGGAUAGAUUAUUGCAAUUAUUAAUCUUCAACGAGGAAUGCCUAGUAAGCGCAAGUCAUCAGCUUGCGUUGAUUACGUCCCUGCCCUUUGUACACACCGCCCGUCGCUCCUACCGAUUGAAUGGUCCGGUGAAGCGUUUGGACUAUGGUUUUCUGAUGGUCCGCCGUUAGAUUACCGUGGGAAGUUCGUUAAACCUUAUCAUUUAGAGGAAGGAGAAGUCGUAACA